ACGGAAGUGAUUGCAUUUACGUCAUCUUUGGUCAUGUCAGCUCGUUUAUGAGCAUCGAUGUUCUUUAUUCGACAGUGACACUAAUCGUAACCUUUGGCAGUUCGUUUCGAGUCAUGGCGGUGAGUGUGUAGAGUUAAAGUGUGCGUAUCCCAGUGUUUUGUGUGCAAGAUGCCAACAAAGGAGAACGUUCUACUCAUUCGUGACAGUAUGCUGACUCUAGAUGUUACUGGAGUGGCUGCUCGUUCUGAGAGGACGAAGUGAGUUACCUUCAUGCUGUGCCCAGGAUGAGAAAGGAAUGCGUGUGAAAGAAGGGAAGGAGAUGAAGGGAUG